UACGAAGGUGGCAAGCGUUGUUCGGAUUUACUGGGCGUACAGGGAGCGUAGGCGGUUCGGUAAGCCCUCUGUGAAAUCUCCAGGCUUAACCUGGAACAGUCGGAGGGGACUGCUGGGCUAGAGGACGGGAGAGGAGCGCGGAAUUCCCGGUGUAGCGGUGAAAUGCGUAGAGAUCGGGAGGGAGGCCGGUGGCGAAGGCGGCGCUCUGGAACGUUUCUGACGCUGAGGCUCGAAAGCUAGGGGAGCAAACGGG
rnacentral:rRNA from 1 species